AAAAGGAAUGAAAUAAAAGAAAGAAAGAAACAGAAUAAGGAACGAAACAGAGAAGGAAGAAAAGAAAGGAGAGAAAAGAAAAAGGGAAAAUUGAGGGUUUAAAGCUUGAGGUUUAAAUAGCUAGCGUUGUGCCAGAAAAUCUCGGCUAAGCGAGGAAAGACGACGUCAACGAGGGUUAGCUCAGAAAUUACGGUUGUGUUUUUAUAAUCCGAACUUAAUAUUUAAUUGUUGAAUUUAUUAUUUAAUGUGUAGGGUGAUGCAUUGAAAAGCGAAAUUUAAUGGUUAAUUAUUAAAUUUUGAUUGAAUGUUAAGGUAAGCAUUAUUGUGUUUUAUGACUAUUGAAAUGAAUCAAAAUGUAUAUUGUAUUGCAAUUGAAUUGCAUGUGGAUUGAUAUGAAAAAAUGUAUUAAAUUGAAUUGAAAUUAAAUUACGAUUGAAAUUGAAAAUUUGAAA